rnacentral:tRNA from 1 species
GCCGCAGUAGCUCAGCUGACAGAGCGUUACAUUGGUAAUGUAAAGGUCGCGGGUUUGAGCCCCGCCUGUGGCU